rnacentral:rRNA from 1 species
AUUGAACGCUGGCGGAAUGCUUUACACAUGCAAGUCGAACGGCAGCACGGGGGCAGCCCUGGUGGCGAGUGGCGAACGGGUGAGUAAUACAUCGGAACGUGCCCGGUCGUGGGGGAUAACGUAGCGAAAGUUACGCUAAUACCGCAUACGAUCUGAGGAUGAAAGCGGGGGACCUUCGGGCCUCGCGCGAUCGGAGCGGCCGAUGUCAGAUUAGGUAGUUGGUGGGGUAAAGGCCUACCAAGCCGACGAUCUGUAGCUGGUCUGAGAGGACGACCAGCCACACUGGGACCGAGACACGGCCCAGACUCCUACGGGAGGCAGCAGUGGGGAAUUUUGGACAAUGGGCGCAAGCCUGAUCCAGCCAUUCCGCGUGCAGGACGAAGGCCUUCGGGUUGUAAACUGCUUUUGUACGGAACGAAAAGGCUCUGGCUAAUACCUGGGGCUCAUGACGGUACCGUAAGAAUAAGCACCGGCUAACUACGUG